rnacentral:rRNA from 1 species
CGGGGGGGGCAAGCGUUGUUCGGAAUUACUGGGCGUAAAGGGCUCGUAGGCGGCCAACUAAGUCGGACGUGAAAUCCCCAGGCUCAACCUGGGAACUGCGUCCGAUACUGGAUGGCUUGAAUCCGGGGGAGGGAUGCAGAAUUCCAGGUGUAGCGGUGAAAUGCGUAGAUAUCUGGAGGAAUACCGGUGGCGAAGGCGGCAUCCUGGACCGGCAUUGACGCUGAGGAGCGAAAGCCAGGGGAGCAAACGGGAUUAGAUACCCCGGUAGUCCUGGCCCUAAACGAUGAAUGCUUGGUGUAACGGGUAUCGAUCCCUGUUGUGCCGAAGCUAACGCAUUAAGCAUUCCGCCUGGGGAGUACGGUCGCAAGGCUG